GUGCGUGCGAAAGAGACAUGCGCUCUAUGUGAACGCCCCAUGCACACGUGCGUAUGGAUGGGAUGUGCACUCUAUUUGCAUGUCCCGUGUGUGCAUGCAUGCACAUGCGCACAGUGCCCAACACUUGCGGGGGCAAACUGCUUUCUCGUGGGAUUUUUCUCGCGAGCAAGUUUUCUCCUGUUUUACCGUUUUUUGAUUUUUUUUCUAAAUUUUCUCUUUAAAAUAAAAUAAAAUAUUU
rnacentral:lncRNA from 1 species